UUCAGUAGCUAAAAAGGGUCAGAUCUGAUUAUUACUUGGAUGAGAAAUCAUCUGAGAAUACCAGGUGCUAUUAUAA
rnacentral:rRNA from 1 species